GAUUUAAAUUGAGCCCCGCUAACGUUGACUAUCUUCAAGAACUGCUUUUGGAUCAAGUAUUCGCUUCUCCUUGCUUCUUUCUCGCGUUAUUCCUCUUGAGUUUUGUUACCUUUCGGCUGGAAAUGGACCACUUGCCGCUGGUGUGGCAGUGGUUGGAGCAUGACCAUGUUGAUGAUGAGCUGUCACUGGCCCAUUCCAAGAGGUUUUCUGGAUAGAAAUUCCUUUUCAGGGAGAUUAGAGGGACGGAACCUUUUGACGUAUUCUUUAUGACAGGAGGGUUUCAUGCCUAUAAUCCCAGCACUUGGAAGACGGAGAUAAAAGGGUCGCCGUGAGUUUGAGGACAGCCUGCACUACAGAAAACUACUUCCCCAGAACGGAGGUGUGUGAAAUGUCUUUGUCCCCCUAGGAAGUGUGGGAGUCACCACUGAGCCUUGUCAGGCCAGGCACCACAUAUGCUUCCCUGUAGGUGGGAAGCUGAGACCGAUGAAGUGGUCCUGCAGCGGUGGCAGAAGCAGAUAGAUUAUGGCAAGUGCAUACCUGGGUACCAGAGCUUUCUGCAGCAGGUCCCCAGUUUGCAUACUUGAAGCUUCCUGCUUCCUCCCCGGCCCAGCUCAAAGAUGAAGUUCUCUAUCACUAAGUCUACCUGUUUCCCUAUCCCAGAUGAGGGGGCUUCAAAACACUUAGAGUAAACCCUUGACUUUUAGGGAUUUGCUGCUACAACUGUAAUAAUGAAAUGACUGGAAUUACCACUUUCUAUCCGACUAAAGAAAGGAAUCUGAAACUCUGCCCUACAGUGAUCUGAGCAUGAGAGCAUUUAUUGAAAAAAAUUUUUCCCAUCUGAGACCUCCAAUUUACAGAAGAGCCAGAAGCCUCUAUGGGCUUUCUUCCCUACUGACAUCAACACCCAGCCUAUUGAAAAAAAACUUAAAACUUUGGUUGAGGUGGGAGGUGGUGAUAAUGGUACAGACUUAAUAAAAAUGUGGUUUCCAGUUCCUGAAGAGGAAA
rnacentral:lncRNA from 1 species